rnacentral:misc_RNA from 1 species
GAUGAAGAACGCAGCGAAAUGCGAUAAGUAGUGUGAAUUGCAGAAUUCAGUGAAUCAUCGAAUCUUUGAACGCACAUUGCGCCCCUUGGUAUUCCAUGGGGCAUGCCUGUUCGAGCGUCAUUUGUACCUUCAAGCUUUGCUUGGUGUUGGGUGUUUGUCCAUUCUCUUGCAGAGGGACUCGCCUUAAAGUAAUUGGCAGCCAGUGUUUUGGUUUUGAAGCGCAGCACAAGUCGCGAUUCAAAGCUAUACGCCCGCUUCCACAAGCCUUUUUCACUUUUGACCUCGGAUCAGGUGGGGAUACCCGCUGAACUUAAGCAUAUCAAUAAGCGGAGGA